rnacentral:tRNA from 1 species
GGUGGCUCAGUGGUAGAGUGCUUGCCUUGCAUGCAUGAGGUCCUAGGUUUGAUUCCUAAGCACCA